rnacentral:rRNA from 1 species
GACGAACGCUGGCGGCGCGCCUAACACAUGCAAGUCGAACGAGCGAGAGAGAGCUUGCUUUCUCGAGCGAGUGGCGAACGGGUGAGUAACGCGUGAGGAACCUGCCUCAAAGAGGGGGACAACAGUUGGAAACGACUGCUAAUACCGCAUAAGCCCACGGCUCGGCAUCGAGCAGGGGGAAAAGGAGCAAUCCGCUUUGAGAUGGCCUCGCGUCCGAUUAGCUAGUUGGUGAGGUAAUGGCCCACCAAGGCGACGAUCGGUAGCCGGACUGAGAGGUUGAACGGCCACAUUGGGACUGAGACACGGCCCAGACUCCUACGGGAGGCAGCAGUGGGGAAUAUUGCACAAUGGGGGAAACCCUGAUGCAGCGACGCCGCGUGAGUGAUGAAGUAUUUCGGUAUGUAAAAACUCUAUCAGCAGGGAAGAUAAUGACGGUACCUGACUAAGAAGCACCGGCUAAAUACGUGCCAGCAGCCGCGGU